CAAGGAGGACAUUNCCCAGU
rnacentral:rRNA from 1 species